rnacentral:rRNA from 1 species
AGCGAACGCUGGCGGCAUGCCUAACACAUGCAAGUCGAACGAACCCUUCGGGGUUAGUGGCGCACGGGCGCGUAACGCGUGGGAAUCUGCCCUUUGCUUCGGAAUAACUCAGGGAAACUUGUGCUAAUACCGGAUGAUGUCUUCGGACCAAAGAUUUAUCGGCAAGGGAUGAGCCCGCGUAGGAUUAGGUAGUUGGUGGGGUAAAGGCCUACCAAGCCGACGAUCCUUAGCUGGUCUGAGAGGAUGAUCAGCCACACUGGGACUGAGACACGGCCCAGACUCCUACGGGAGGCAGCAGUGGGGAAUAUUGGACAAUGGGCGCAAGCCUGAUCCAGCAAUGCCGCGUGAGUGAUGAAGGCCCUCGGGUCGUAAAGCUCUUUUACCAGGGAUGAUAAUGACAGUACCUGGAGAAUAAGCUCCGGCUAACUCCGUG